rnacentral:rRNA from 1 species
AGAAUUCCGACAUGACUCACGAUAUGAAGUUCAUCAUCAAAAAUUGGUGUUCUUUGCAGAAGAUGUGGGUUCAAACAAAGGUGCAAUCAUUGGACUCAUGGUGGGCGGUGUUGUCAUAGCGACAGU